CCAUGGUCCGCCCCCCCCCUCCCCCUGCCCCUAGGACUUACCAGCUUGGAGUUGGCUGCAGCUCCCUGCUGCAGCCACCGGGGACUGCCUGAAUCAUCAAAGCUCUCUGAAUCUUUUCUGAAGAUUUAGUGAGCUUUGAAUCAAUUCGGACCUUUUAAUUGGUCCCCUGAUUCGAUUCCGAUUCGGAGAUUCUGCCAUCGAAUUGGGCUGAAUCUCCUCUGAAUCAAAUCGCCACCCAAAGCUUCACACAGCCCUACUACAUAUUACACGGCUUCCAGGCAGGGUAGGUCUGUCAUGGAAACUCACAUUGUCUUGAAGUUGCUGGAAGAGCCUUGGGGUAAGAAAAAAUAUGCUGAAGCCAGAAAGAGAGAGCUAGCCUCACUUUUAGGGGAGCUGCAGGGUUCACCUUUGCAAAAAGUAGAGGCCUGAAGUCUAGCUUUAAAGGCGGACGCUUUCAGAGGGACUGGAUAAAGGUGGGAGGUCUAACAUGCCCAGUGGACCUGUAACAUAGAUAUCACCCUUUAUGAAAAGUUUUGUUUGAGCUAGGCUGGGAACAAAGUUAAGAAACAGUAGGCUGGGUCCUUUAAGUUGUAAACUGUCAAAACCCCGUGGACAUCAGUGGAGCCAGCAACCAUUUUACAGCAGCUGAGGCUCUUGUGCUGUGGCUAGAUUCAGUUUAAAACAUACUAACGCUGGUAGUGCCAACCCCUCUUCCAGUCCCCACCCUCCCGAAGCAUAUUAAUUCAGGAGAAGCCACUCUGUGUUAGAGGACUUGGAGAAGGAGCAAUUGGAAAGGCAAAGCGAACAGCUGGAGAAUUGGCGACACUGUCAGGUUAGCUGGAGUGAGCAGCAGUGGUUUCUGAAGACCCUAACUAUGCCAAUUUUUUUCUGCAGCUGAGCCAAACCUGAUGCGGGCUGGGAACAGAGUCCGCUUGGUUCCAUGGGUGCAGAAGGGCAAGAAAGAGGUUUCAUAACUAUGUGUAAUAUACUCUAAAAUAGCCAAGGGCACUGCACUUGUUGGCUGAGUGGGAAUGUAGCACUUAAGGAGGAGACAAUUUUUUACAGGUUGUAGCUGGGUGCCCAGCUUCUACUAAAAUUGCAAGGGCACCUUUGAAAAUCUCUUUCUAAUUGCUUAUGGAUGCCAAUUACUUUCCAAUAGCCAUAAGAGCAUUAGCUAUCCUGAUGUGUUAAACUGGCCUUUACUUUCUGCACUUGUGCUUAUUUACAUAUUGGCUGUUUCAGGCAUUGUAUUGUGCUGUAGAGCAGAUACCAGUGAUGCCUCACCUUUCAAGUUACCUUUACCUCACAGUUCAUGGACUGUACACAGGACAGAACUCUGAAGUGUAGAGGAGUUAAUUUAGCUACUACCUCAAGCUAAAAAAUCCUUUGACCUGCCUGUACUAUGCAGGAGGCUGGCUAGAUGAUCAUAAUGGCCCUUGUAGCUUUCAGAUCCAUGACUCUAUGAGAAAAGAUUGCUGCUACUUUUCUGAAAAGCCCCUUUCCCAUUACAAUCAUAGGCCAUUCAGAUUGGGAGCAUCCUCAUUCUAAAUCCCAACACUAAAUAUGAGGUACAGCUCAUUUUGUAGCCGAAAGGAGAACUAUGUAGACCAUGUGAUAGCUCUCCUACAGUGUAGAGGUUAUUGCAUUUCAGGUAGGAUGGUCAAGGUGAUGAAAGCACUGGAUGGUGACUUAGGACAGCUGGAUUCACCUCCUAUAGUCCUGGCUCUGCGACUUCCUGUGUGGCUCUAAGAAAGCCAUAUGCUUUCCUGAAGCUCUUGUUACACUUCUGUAACAGGAGAACAAUGAUACCACACUGGAGUACUAGGAGGAUCAAUAUGCAUAUAGCGGAGAGGCUUUCUGUUCAAUGUUGACGGGGCCCACAUAUGUAGAUAAUUCUUCCUCUUAGAAGCACAUGAUAUACAACAUGUAGCUGAGUGCAGAUCAACAAGUUAACAUUUUGAAAAGGGAGUCUCCUUUUGGUAUGCAUUUGAAAGGUCAACUAACAUUGUGAAUGAAGAGGAGUUCUAGGGUAUGUUUUGUUAAUUUUAAAAGAUCUGCACUGAAUUAAUUUAUUGUACUUCUGUAACUUCCAUGACAUUUGUUCUUUUCCUGGAUGUCUAUUGAAACAAUAGGAUGUGACUGAACCGCUGGUAGCCUUAGGCCCUAUGCAGUGAUUCACUGAGGUAAUUUGCGUUUACCAGAACUCAUGUACAUGUCCUGCCAUGUGUAUGACUGGAAUAGGCAAUACUUGGAAGUCAUACUCCUUCCUCAUGCAAAGGAUCUUACGGCUGGAUAUGGGCCUGCUUUGAGUUUUGUCCUUUUUUUGUUUCCCAAAAAGAUCAUCUCGUUUUGGAAAGAAGCAUAGGAAAUCUUGGAAAAAGCAGAAGCGUCCUGAGAAAAUGUUUUAGAUAAUGGACAGCUGAUCGCUUAAAAAUUUCGUUGUCACCAUAUUGCCAUAGUUUUAAUUCACAAGGUUCAUUUGCAUCCAGGGCAUUAAGUAUAUUGAGGUUUCAGAGCACAAUAUUCUCCUUAGGCACCUAUCCACGUGUCCAACACCUGCUCUGAUGCGCUCUAAUCAGAGUGUGUCAGAGCAGACUUGAGUCUGCUGGAGUGUACUAAUUUGCAUGCUCCAGCAGCCUCAGCAUCACGUGCAUUCUGCGUCCCUGCACUUCGAAAUAGUGGCAGGGGUGCUUUAACUGAAGCUCAUUGAACGAGCUUUAGUUAAAGUGCUCCACCACCAUUUUGAAGUAUGAGAUGCUGCGUACAUGAGACGCCGUGGACACUUUAAUUAGAGCAUCUCCUGAGAGUCUCUCUAAUUAAAGCACCUCCCCCCCAAGCAUAUGUAAAGACACCCUUUGUGCAUAAAGCCUUGUACCUAACAGCCUAUGUGGGAAUGAAGUGGUGGAUCUUACACUGUUGAACAGGGGUGAAUUUCAUCCCUACUUUCUAUAAUAAUAUAUGUAUGUCUUAAUUUUGAAGAAUGAGUAUAAAUUUGUACUUGCUCAAAAUCAUCUCUAGGAAAAAAAACAAGGUUGUGCUUUUAUUGCAGUUUAAGCUGUAACCUGGUGAAGAUUUGAUCUAUUAAGGGGUAGAUUCUCCUAACAAAUGCCUCUCUCCAUCAGUUUUACCAUUAAAAUCAAUGGCACUACUUUAGGAUAAGGUAAUAUGCAAUGUGCAUGUCAGAAUUUAGCCCUAAAGCAGGAUGCAGGGAGACCAUGUGGAAAGUUGUCCAGGUUUCACAUAACUCACCAUAGCCUGUGUAACAAAUGAUGUGAAAGGAUGGGUGGACUAGUAUUUAGGGUGUCACAGAAGGAUUCCUUUCUCUGCUCUGCCACAGAUGUCCUCUAUAAUCUUGCAUGAGCUACUGCUGUCCAGCUUUAACAUGGGAGUCAUACAAUUCUCUACCUUGCUGGGGUGUUGUGAGGAUAAAUACAGCAACGACAGGCAUACAAGUACCUACACUAGACAGCUCAAUAGCAGAAGUACGGAGAUCUCAGGGGGAGAUGCUCAUGAAUCAUAGACUCAUAGAAAAUUAGGGUUGAAAGGGAAGUCAUGUAGUUCAAUGCCCUACUCAAAACAGGACCAUCCCCACCUAUACUAUCGCAACAACCUGCAUUAACAGCCUGCAGCAAAGGCCAGGCUAUGACAUGGUACUGCCAUCUUGACAAGCUGGAAUUGUUAAUCCCCUCACUCAUAUAGGAUCUCAAUAUUGAAGCAUUGUUGGACUUCAGGCUUGCACUACUGUCUUUUUAGGCUGUCCUGUCUCAAUGGGCUGGUGCUUUUUUGGAUUAGAAACUUUGCGCCAUGCAGUUUGAAUUAUUCUGAAGGUAUGAAAAAGUCCCAUACUGAGACACUGAAGAUAAAAAUCUAUUUUUACAUCUAUUUUCUCUUAAAAAAUAAUUACCAGAAGCUUAAAAAUAUGAGUUGUGCAUUCGGCAGUGUUUUCCUCUUUGGUUGUGGGGCAGCUUUUUGAGCUACUGAUCAAUAGCUAGGACAAAGCUACAAAUAAAAGAAUUUCCUGAGACACACUGUCUACUAAAACAAAAUGUUGUUUGUCACCAGUAUGAUAGUCCCCAGAGAGAAGGGAGUUGGCAAUAUUCCUCAACUGCACCAGGUCAGCUUAUCCUACUACCAUUAGCCAUCCUGGUGCAGGCAGCAAUCCUCAACUGUUCCAAGACGCCCUACAAUCAUCUAAUGCAUUGGUCCAUCUUGUAAUCCUCUGACAAUCCAGGUUGCUCUAUACUUUCUUGCUAUGUUAGGCCAAGUCACUCUACACUUCAUAGCUUCAGGGAAGCAGUAAUAGACUUUGAGUGCUCUAGGUCUCUUAUUAAUUCCUAACCACUUCAGGCAAUCGAAUGUAGAAGUUUUAGGAAUAUAUAUUAACUGCAGCACAUGACUGUGUUCAGAGCACCAAAGAAAAAAAAGGAUAAACAGACAUCCAGAUUAAAAUCAGACACACAUAACAACAGAGGAAGUGACCAUCUGGACCUCAGGGAAGCUGAGAACUAAGGCCCAAGCAAUACAGAGGAAGUUCUCCCUUGUUCUACCAUUGUACCUUCCCUUCCUGCCCCUCAGUCACUCAGUUCCAUGUUCUGUUCCCGAUGCGUUCAAUCAGUCUCUCAAAAGGGAGCAUUUUCUGGUAGCAAAGGAACAUAGAAAUGGCUACACUGGCUCAGACCCAUGGUCUGUAGAGUCUAGUGUCCUGUCUUUGACAGUGGCCAGUACGAGGUGCCUGAAAGCUAUAGGAAGCUUGCAGCAGGCAGCUGAGGGGUAAUCUUCCCUUCCCCACCCCCACUGGGCCUCAUCCUGAUCACUCUGAGUUUGAGACUGGUCUAAGCCCUGAAAAGAUCUUAUAUCCCCUCCAAAGCAUGCUGUUAUGAUUUGUGAUGAUUCUGCAGGUUGCUGAUAUCCAUGUAUGCAUCCAAUCCUCUUCUGAAUCUUGCUAAAUUCAUGCACUAAAUGAUUUCCUGUAGUAAUGAACUCCCUCUUUGAGUGGGUGAAAAAGUAUUUCCUUUAAUUGCUUUUGAAUUUCCUAUCUUGUACUUCAAUUGCCCAUCCCCCUUGCUCUGCUUCCAGGAGACAGGGAAGAGAGAAACUCUAACUCCGUCUUCUGUGCAGCACUCAUGGUUUCAUAUAUGCUUAUUGUGUCCCCUGUGAUCUGUCUCCCAAGGUCAUUAAACAGCAUGGAGCCUAGAACAAAACUUUGGAGCACCUGCUGUUAACCUUUAAUAGCAGCCAGCAGCAAAGAAGAGCUACCACAGAUGUUUUGGCCAGGACAGGAGGCAGCUGAAAAAUGAGCAAAAGCAGAUAAGCACCAAUGGGGUCCUACUGCGGUCUGGAGAAAUUUGAGGAUGUUGUCUCCACUGAAGAACAUCUGGAGUGGCAGAACCCCCAAAUAUAAACCAGCCUCCAUAUGCAAUAGUGAAGAUUCAGAGCAGGGUUUAAACAAUGGAAGAUAUGGCAGUGAAGACACUGAUGUCUGUUCAGACAGUUGCCACAUGGCACCUCUACCUUUUCUUGGUCCUUGAUGUAUGGUAAUCUGCUCCAGACUGCGUGUGGAGUGAUUGGGUGCCCUCUGCAUCCUUUCACAGUGACUGGGUGACCUCUGCAUCCUUGAGAAUGUCAGGUCUACCAUGGAAAGGUGUCCAGGAGAGUGCUCUCAGCCUCACAGCAUAAUACUAAAGGGACAUCAGGAGUUAGUGUCUUUAACCGAGGGGUGGAAAGAAGCGGGCACAGGCAUUCCAUGAAAAGCCAGGGCAUGUACAUAGCAUUUGGACUCUUUGAUCAAACUCCCUGAGGUCAUUUUAAAUACUCCCUGUAACUUUAGUGAGGCCCAUAUUGGGUCUUAAAUCCUUUGUGGAGGGGUUCUUGAAAAACAGUGUUACCACUGUCAACUGAGUCCAUUGAGUCUCCUUUCCUAGACUACCUGGAGUCAAGAGAAAAGUUCUUGCUUGCUUCUGAACCUCAGUCAGCAGAGCUUUAUUCUGUGUCUGGCUUAUCACUUGACAGUAUUUGAAGAUGCAUUAUCAAGAUGGGAUGGAGGAGCCUCCAAGGAGCUAUGUUAUAUGCCAGCACCUAUUAAUUUGUGAUUAAAAUAAUAAAUUUCAUAGACACUA